ensembl:lncRNA
CAACGGAAAUCUGCUGCUCAUUGACAUUGAGACCAAGGAGGAGCUGGAUUCCCUGGCGUUGAGCGGCGUGUUAGAGGUGAAGGCUGAGCAGGACAGCUGUGUCUAUAACUCCUUGCUGAUCAUCUCAGUGCAGGACAGAGCCAGCAGUGUCUUCAUGUUCCAGAGUGACUCUGUAAAGGCUGAUUACAUCAAAAGAGAUCUUGAACGAAUCUUACAAAACGGUACGACUGAGGCCCAGGACCAAAACAAUCAGAUAAACAGAGGAAGACCAGGGGCUUUUGUUGUGAGAAACACCAGAAGCCCCUCUCCAGAGCGAAGAGAGUGGACUCCCCCAGAACCUCGUUUUGAGGAGUGGAGCGCUCCAGACUACGAUGACAGUCCAGCUCCAACUCCAGCCAUGACCAGACGGCAGCCACUGACACCGCCUCCCCCUGCAAAGGUCACACCCAAACACACCCACAGC